rnacentral:rRNA from 1 species
CUAAGAAUAUUCCGCAAUGGACGAAAGUCUGACGGAGCGACGCCGCGUGGAUGACGAAGGCCGAAAGGUUGUAAAGUCCUUUUGUUGGGGAAGAAUAAGCAUGGGAGGGAAUGCCCGUGUGAUGACAUGAACCGACGAAUAAGCCCCGGCUAACUACGUGCCAGCAGCCGCGGUAACACGUAGGGGGCGAGCGUUGUUCGGAAUUACUGGGCGUAAAGGGCAUGUAGGCGGCUCUGUAAGUCCGGCGUGGAAGCCCACGGCUUAACCGUGGGAUUGCGCCAGAAACUGGGGGGCUUGAAUCAUGGAGAGGGAGCUGGAAUUCCAGGUGUAGGGGUGAAAUCUGUAGAGAUCUGGAAGAACACCAGUGGCGAAGGCGAGCUCCUGGCCAAUGAUUGACGCUGAGGUGCGAAAGUGUGGGGAUCAAACA